rnacentral:rRNA from 1 species
GACGAGCGCUGGCGGCGUGCUUAACACAUGCAAGUCGAACGAUGAACCCGGAGCUUGCUCCGGUGGGUUAGUGGCGAACGGGUGAGUAACACGUGAGUAACCUGCCCUUGACUCUGGGAUAACUGCGGGAAACUGUAGCUAAUACCGGAUACGACCCUCGGCGGCAUCGCCAGGGGGUGGAAAGAAUUUCGGUCAAGGAUGGACUCGCGGCCUAUCAGCUAGUUGGUGAGGUAACGGCUCACCAAGGCGACGACGGGUAGCCGGCCUGAGAGGGGGACGGGCCACACUGGGACUGAGACACGGCCCAGACCCCUGCGGGAGGCAGCAGUGGGGAAUAUUGCACAAUGGGCGCAAGCCUGAUGCAGCAACGCCGCGUGAGGGAUGACGGCCUUCGGGUUGUAAACCUCUUUUAGUAGGGAAGAAGCGAAAGUGACGGUACCUGCAGAAAAAGCACCGGCUAACUACGUGCCAGCCGCCGCCGCGG